ACCCUGUAGACCCGGGUUUGUGUGUAACAGAACGUUGGCUAUGACAGAAGCUCUGCUCUACAGGUAU
rnacentral:pre_miRNA from 1 species